CAGGGAAUCUUGCACAAUGGGCGAAAGCCUGAUGCAGCGACGCCGCGUGGGGGAUGAAGGCCUUAGGGUCGUAAACCCCUUUCAGCAGGGACGAAAAUGACGGUACCUGCAGAAGGAGCCCCGGCCAACUACGUGCCAGCAGCCGCGGUAAGACGUAGGGGGCGAGCGUUGUCCGGAUUUAUUGGGCGUAAAGAGCUCGUAGGCGGUUGCGUAAGUCGGAUGUGAAAACUCAGGGCUCAACCCUGAGACGCCAUCCGAUACUGCGCUGACUUGAAUCCAGUAGGGGAGUGUGGAAUUCCUGGUGUAGCGGUGAAAUGCGCAGAUAUCAGGAGGAACACCCAUGGCGAAGGCAGCACUCUGGGCUGGUAUUGACGCUGAGGAGCGAAAGCAUGGGUAGCGAACAGGAUUAGAUACCCCCGUAGUCCCUGAGCGGGCUGGCAAGGCGCAU
rnacentral:rRNA from 1 species